AGGCGUAGGGCAGCCCGGCCCCACUUAGCACGAGUGUGCUGGGAAGUUUCUAAAACAUCUCGAAAAGGGGGAAUUGAGCGGGGAAAGAGCUUUACCUGGAGUGGCUGGUUUUUCCAUGUGUGAUGGAAGUAUAUCACCUUAGAAAGUCAUGAACAUGGUUAUUAAAAACAAGCGCACAUAGAAUUAUAGUUCCUAUUUAAUAAUUUGAGCCAACUUCAGCAGAAACAUGGGACUGAUUUUCAUCACGGAUACCGAUCAUGCCCCAGAAUUUUUUAAUUCCUGGGCACAACCACCACACAUGAAAGAAGGUUGCCACUUGUGAUUUACAUCUCCAACAUUUGUUAUUGUGGCUUCUGUUG